UAACUUAGUGGCGGACGGGUGAGUAACGCGUGGGGAACCUGCCUUGCACCGGGGGAUAACACUUAGAAAUAGGUGCUAAUACCGCAUAAGCGCACAGAGCCGCAUGGCUCGGUGUGAAAAACUCCGGUGGUGCAAGAUGGACCCGCGUCUGAUUAGCUGGUUGGCGGGGUAACGGCCCACCAAGGCGACGAUGCGUAGGGGUUCUGAGAGGAAGGUCCCCCACACUGGUACUGAGACACGGACCAGACUCCUACGGAAGGCAGCAG
rnacentral:rRNA from 1 species